rnacentral:rRNA from 1 species
CCUACGGGAGGCAGCAGUGGGGAAUUUUGGACAAUGGGCGAAAGCCUGAUCCAGCAAUGCCGCGUGAGUGAAGAAGGCCUUCGGGUUGUAAAGCUCUUUUGUCAGGGAAGAAACGGUGAGGGCUAAUAUCCUUUGCUAAUGACGGUACCUGAAGAAUAAGCACCGGCUAACUACGUGCCAGCAGCCGCGGUAAUACGUAGGGUGCAAGCGUUAAUCGGAAUUACUGGGCGUAAAGCGUGCGCAGGCGGUUUUGUAAGUCUGAUGUGAAAUCCCCGGGCUCAACCUGGGAAUUGCAUUGGAGACUGCAAGGCUAGAAUCUGGCAGAGGGGGGUAGAAUUCCACGUGUAGCAGUGAAAUGCGUAGAUAUGUGGAGGAACACCGAUGGCGAAGGCAGCCCCCUGGGUCAAGAUUGACGCUCAUGCACGAAAGCGUGGGGAGCAAACAGGAUUAGAUACCCUGGUAGUCCACGCCCUAAACGAUGUCUACUAGUUGUCGGGUCUUAAUUGACUUGGUAACGCAGCUAACGCGUGAAGUAGACCGCCUGGGGAGUACGGUCGCAAGNUUAAAACUCAAAUGAAUUGACGG